GGAAGAUGCCACAUGUCAUUGUUCCAGCAGCUGCUGCGAAUGGCAGAGGAAGGCGCCGGCAUCCGUACGCAGAGGCUUUCCGACUGCCGGUCUGAGGAGUCAGCGGACGCGCACCUGCAGAGGGAACGGCGGAGAAUCACAGAGCCAGGGCGUGUGCUCCACUUUGAGUUCUCAGGCGACUGUGUGGUAAAUAUCUAAGAUUGGAAUUUCUUGGUCAUGGAGAUUUUCAGGACCACCUGUUUUCAGGACGGCUUUUCAUUUCUAGGAGGUCAACGAAAGGAAAAGAAAAUGAAGAUUUUGCCAAGUGUGCCUUGUUUGUCUAUAAUCCGCUUGUUCCUGACUGAAGGCUGACUCCAGUUGCCCUUGAUGCUCCAGCUCCCUCUGAUCUAGUGGUCACGGGCUGUUGACAGCCAGUUGCAGUCUGGCAAGAAGCUAAAAAGAAGGGGACCCAUUUAAACAAUUACGAUUUAAAUGCUGCAAUAGCUGGUGUUUGGUUUCAGUAAAUUUGUUGUCUGGCCUAUCAAAGGCCCCCACAUAUCCUUCUGAAAGUUAAAUGAAGGUUUUAUUCAUCAAUGACUCAUUGCUUCCCACUUGCUAAUGCUGUCUGAGAAAAUAUGAAUUUUGAUUAGAAAGAUUAUAUGAAUUUUCUAAUGAUCUACAUG
rnacentral:lncRNA from 1 species